UUUUUUUUUUUUUUUUUGGUCUUUUUAGGGCUGCACCCACAGGAUAUGUAGGUUCCUAGGCUAGAGGUCCAAUCAGAGCUGUAGCUGCCAGUCUAUGCCACAGCCACAGCAACGCAAGAUCUGAGCCAUGUCUGCUACCUACACCACAGCUCACAGCAAUGCCAGAUCCUUAACCCACUGAGCAAAGCCAGGGAUUGAACCUACAUUCUCAGGGAUACUAAUCAGAUUUGUUUCUGCUGAGCCAAGAUGGAAGCUCCAGUCUCAGUAGUUUUUUUUUUUGCUUUUUAGGGGGCUGCACCUGAGGCAUAUGGAAGUUUCCAGGCGAGGGGCUGAAUCAGAGCUGUAGCUGCUGGCCUUGCCAUAGCCACAGCAACACGGGAUCUAAGUCACGUCUGCGACCUACACCACAGCUCAUGGCAAAGCCGGACCCUUAACCCACUGAGCAAGGCCAGGGAUCAAACCUGCAUCCUCAUGGAUACUAGCUGGAUUCGUUUCCACUGAGCCACACAGGAACUUCAACCACACACUCUUAAACAACCAAUAGAUCAAAGAAAUCACAAUAGAAAAUUUUAAAAUACUUAGAGAUGAAAGUAAACAAAAUGCAACAUAUCAAAACUGGGAUGAAGCAAAAUCAAUCAAUGCUCAGGGGGAAAUUUAUAGCUAUAAAGAUCUCAAAUUUACAACCUAACUUUACAACUUAAGGAAGCUAGAAAAAGAAGAACCAACUAAACCUAAUAUUAGUGGAAGGAAGGAAAUAAUAAUUAGAGCAGAGAUAAAGGCGGUAAGAGAAUAGAAAGACAAUAGAGAAUAAUUAAACCAAAAGUAGUUUUUUGAAAAGAUAACCAAAACUGCCAAACCUUUAUCUAGAUGGACUAAGAAAAAAAGACUCAAAUUACUAAGAAAUGAAAGGGGACAUUACUACUGAUUCUACAGAAAUAAAAAGUAUUAUAAGAGAAAGCUAUGAACAAUUGUACACCAACAAAUUGGACAUCCUAGCCGAAAUGGUCAAAUUCCUAGAAACACAAAACCCACCAAGACUAAGUCAAUGAGAAACAGAAAAUCUGAGUAGACCUAUGACUGUGUAGACCAUUCAGUGGGGGCAAAGGGCAGUCUUUCACAAAAUUUGCUGGGAAAUGGGAUAUCUGCAUGCAAAAGAUUGAAGUUGGACCCUUACCUAAUCCAUGGACAAAAACUAACUCAAAAUGGACUAAAGACCUAAAACUCCUAACUCUUAGAAGAAAACAUAAGGCAGAAAGUUCAUGAUGGAUUCGCAGUGAUUUCUUGAGUAUGCCACCAUAGGCAAAGGCUACAAAAGAAAAAAUAGACAAGGUGGGCUUUAUAAGAAUUUACAAACUUUGUGCAUUAAAAGACACUUAAGAGAGUAUAAAGGCAAGCCACAGAAGGAGACAACAUUUGCAAACCAUAUAUGUGAUAAGGGACUAGUAUCCAGAAUAUACAGAGAACUCCUACAACUCAACAACAAAAUAACCCACUUCAAAACUGGACAAAGGACUUGAAUAUACAUUUCUUUAGCAAACGUGAAUGGCCAACAAUCACAUGAAAAGUUGCUUACCAUCACUGAUAAUUAGGGAAAUGCAAAUCACAACUGCCAUUUAGGUACUUAGAUACUACCUCACACCCAUUAAGAUGGCUACUAUUUUAAACAAAAAACAGAAAAUAACAAGUGUUGUCAAGGUCGUGCGGAAAACUGAACCCUUGUGCCCUCUUGGUGGGAAUGUACAAUGGUACCGCUGCUGUGGAAAAGAGUUUGCCAGCUCCUUAAAAAAUGAGAAAUAAAAUUACAUAUGAUCCAGCAAACCAAUUUCUGGGUCUUGAAAAAAUAUCUGUACACCCAUGUUCAUAGCAUUAUUCACAAUGGCUAAAACAUUGAAGCAACUCAAGUACCCAUUGAUGGAUCAUGGGGAUGCAAAAUGUGAUAUAUACAUAUGAUCAAAUAUUCAGCAUUAAAAUGGAGAGAACUCUGCAAUGUGCUACAACGUGAUGAACCUUGAGGACUAUGCUAAGUGAAAUAACUGUCAUAAAAAGACUAAUACUGUAUGAAUCUAGUGGUGUGAGGUACCGAGAAGUCAAAAUCACACAGACAGAUCAUAGGAUGGUGGUUAUCGUGGGGAGUUAUUGUUUCAUGAGUAUAGAGUUUCAGUUUUGGAAGAUGAAGAGAGUUCUGGAGAUGGAUGGUAGUGAUGACAGCAUAGCAUUAUUGAUUUAUUUCUUUAGGCAAAGCAGAAGACCUUAUUGGGAAGGGGUACCUAGGUAGACAGCAGCAGAGUAAGGGAACCCAGGAGAACUGCUCUAUCAAUGUAUUUAUUACAUUGUACUACAUCCCUAAAAAUGGCUAAGAUGCUAAAUUUUGUUAUGUGUAUUUUGCCAUAAUACAAAAAAAAAAUGAAAAAAAAAAAGAUGUCCCAUAAAGAAGCAGUACCUUUUAUUAUGAAUGUCUGAUCUGCUAAGAGAGAUGAGCAUGCAACAUGGAGGGAGGGUUUGGAAAAGUUGUGAAAGGAGGAGGCCUAUGCCAGGGCUGGGCUCUGAAAAAGAUGGAGGGAGUUUGGUAAGCAGAGUUGUCCAGGAUGGCAGAAGGGACCAGCUUCCUGGCACAAGGAAGGCAGCGAAGAUUUAGGAAAGGCCAGAGCUUGUUAGGGCACAGUGAUUCACGGAAGAUGGCAGUGAGCAGUGUGAGAUCUGGAACCUGCUCCACAACUGUGGAUGAAAGCACUGAACUACUUUUUAGAAGGUAUUGCUUUAAUGCUUAGGUACCAUACUUAUGUUUUAUGAGUUAACAAUUCCAUUCCCAUCAAGCCCUAAUCUUUUUUUUUUUUUUUUUUUUGGCUGCCCUUUGGCACAUGGAGUUCCUUUCCAGGCCAGGGAUCAGAUCUGAGCCAGAGCUGUGACCUAGCUGCAGCUGCAGCAAUGCCUGAUCCUUUAACCCACUGUGCCAGGCAGGAGAUUAAACUUGUGUCCUGGUGCUGGAGAGAUACCGCCAGCCAUAUCCUGUUGCCACAGUGGGAACUCCCCUAAUCAUUUGUUGACAGAAUAUUUCUAAAGAUAUCACCUUGAGACCUUGAUUAUCCAUAUUUGAGAUCGAAUGUCAGUGUUGAACCUAUAACACAGCAGUUCAGGACCUACUGUAGUAACCCCAACACAGUCGUUACUCAAAUGUUGUUAUGCUAGCAAAUAACUGUUUCUUUGAUUUGGAACUCGAUGAAUUUUUCUUCUCAUCAAAUAAAUAUCCAAUCCUACCUUCAAAUGAAUAGCAUUGAGUUUAUUCUAUUCUUUGGUUUUCCCUCUUUGAUUAUUUAAAAAGGAAACCCUUCUCUCACAAACGCGUAAGUUAAUCAUGAGGAACCCUAUCAGAUAAACCCAAACUGAGACUCUAUAUAAAAUAAAUAGCCUGCAGUCAAAAAUGUCAACAGAUGAAAGACAAACAGAAGUUGAGGAAUAGCGCCAGAUGAAAGGAUACUAAAGAGAUUUCCAAAUGCAAUGAAUGGUCCUGAAUGGGGGAGGGGUGGGGCAGGAAAUGUAUCACAAAGGCCAUUUUGUGGACAAUUUGAUUAUAGAUGGUUUAUCAGAUAAUGAUGUUGCAUCAUUAUUAAAUCCCCUGAAUGUGAUAACUGUGCUGUGGCUAUAUAAGUGAAUGUCCUGGUUCUUAGGAGAUACAGGCUGAGUUCCUUUCGUGGCUCAGUGGUAACAAACCCAGCUAGGAUCCAUGAGGACUCAGGUUCCAUCCCUGGCCUCACUCAGUGGGUUAAGGAUCUGGUGUUGCCUUGCGCUGUGGUGUAGGUCCCAGAUGUGGCUCGGGUACCACAUUGCUAUGGCUGUGAUGUAGGCCAGCAGCUACAACUCUGAUUCAACCCCUAGCCUGGGAACCUCCAUAUGCUUCAGAUGCAGCCCUAAAAAGACAAAAAAAAAAAAAAAAGGAAAAGAAAGAAAAAAAAUCAUAUCUACAAAUUGCUUUCAAAUUAUCUAGUGAUAUUUGUACAGCAAAGGAAAUCAUAAACAAACAAACAAACAAAAUAAGACAAACCGUGGGGAAUUCCCUUGUGAUGUAGCAGAUUAAGGAUCCAGAAUUGCCACUGCAGUGGCUUGGUUGCUGCUGUGGUGCAGGUUUGAUCACUGGCCCAGGAACUUCCACAUGCCACAGAGGUGGCCAAAAAACCAACAAACCAACCAACCAAACAGCUGGCUUCUGGGAGGCCAUUGAGAAAAGAACCUAGUGAAAUGCCCAAGGAGGAUCCCAAAUAAACACUGUUCUGAAGAGUUAAGUAAAUUCCAUGAAAUGUCUUAGUAAAUGAAUUAUUUGCUAUGAAAUAAGAAAAAAAAAAAAAAAAGCAACUACGGAAUGAGAAAAACAAAAAUUCAACUGACAAGGGCUUAAUCUCCAAAUAUACAAACAACUCUUAUAACUCAACAACAAAUAAAACAAACAACCCAAUUGAAAAAUGAGCAAAAAGGAGUUCCUGUCGUGGUUUAGUGGUUAAUGAACCUGACUGGUAUCCACGAGGACGUGGGUUCCAUCCCUGAUCUUGUUCAGUGGGUUGAAGAUCCCGAAUUGCUGUGGAUGUGGAUGUAGCCAGUGGCUACAGCUCUGAUUCAACCCCUAGUCUGGGAACCUCCAUAUGC
rnacentral:lncRNA from 1 species